UGUUGACGUUGUACGGGAAUAUACCAUCGAACGAAAGACUGCAGCUUCCCUGUGAGAAAAAGUUCUCGCAUUUUGUCAAUUCCAAUUCUUUAUUUUGGC